rnacentral:lncRNA from 1 species
AGCAGCAGUACUCAGCCAUGGAGUGGGUGCAGAGGAACUACUUGGUGUAUGACUAUUGCCGGGACCCGAAGAGAGACCAUACACAAACACCUGAGUGUUGAAGAGUCUGGCUUGCACUUUGGUUUCCCAAGUGAAUUAAUUGUUUUCCUUUACAGUUAUAAGCAGUUUGUUUGGACUUGAUUGGAAGGCCUUGAGAUGGAUCCCACUUGCUCUAAAUGGGUGCAGCAAGAGGGGUUGUUGAGCGUCCAAGGCCUUUUGGAUUUGAAUUAUUGCAGUUUUUUUCUUUUCUUUUUGCAGUGUCAUUUGAUGAUUGCUUUUGUUGUACCAACCAAUGUACGAUUAAUAAAUUUAUGUGAUAGUGCGUGGUUUUAAUCAAUUGUACUUUGUGUUUUUUUUAUGCCCCGCAGAGAGAAAUGGGUCUGAUUAUUAUGCCAUAUUUGCAAACAUGCAGAAGGAGCACACAGUAGCCCACUUGUGACAAUUGUCUUUGGAUUUGUCUAUGGAUUUUAGUUGCACAAAAAUCAAUUGUGAGUAAAAGCAAUAUAGUUCAAACUGUUGCUUUUAGAAUACAAUGUGAUUUGUAUGGAGAUAAGAUCUUUAGAGAUCUACUUUGUAAUUUACUUUAACUUCAAAUAUAUAUAGAGAGAGAACGUUUUUAUUGAGGGAUUCCUCAAAUAAGCUUAUUUGAGGGGCACCUUUAUAGGGCCCACUUCGCAUUGUGUUUCACUAUUCCAAAUCGUCUAUUUUUUAGAUAUUCAUUCAAAGAUUAUCUCUACAAAAAAUCAUUUGAAUCCGAUAUAUAUAGUUCUAACUGUUUGGAGAUAAUUUAAUUAGUAUAUGUUUAAUUAGUCAAUCCAAUUAUAUAUAGAAAAAAAAUCAUAAGACAAUUAUUAUUUGCAGUCUAAUUCUUUUAUAAAUUAGUAUGUAUCAAGUGUAUUUUUUUCAUCCUUUUUUAUUUAUUUAUAUAAAUUCUGUUUGGAUAGAAGAAAAUAAUUUAGGAUUUAGCUAAAAGGAGAAAUUAAUAUUUCUAUUGUUUAGCAACUUAAGUAUGUAAUUUAUUAAAUAACGCGCAGAAAAAUUGUAAAAAUUAGGGAUUUAGAUUUCCGAACUUUAUGAAAGUCAAAAGACAUGUCAUUUCACAAUUUCUAUUGAGCCAAUUUGAGAACAUUUAACCAAUCAAGUUGGCCGCAGGCUUAAUAAUUUAAUUGGAUAAAGUAAAAGACGACGAAGUAACAGAGAAAGGAUGAAGAAUCUUAAGAAGUCUAUUCAUCCAUCGGAUCCAUCCUAGUAAAUACGUUAAGUCAAACAUUUAGGAGCACUUGUGAUUAAACAGUCUCAUUAGAAUCAGCCAAAUUAUAGCUUAGGGAAGAAAACAAAAGCUUUUAUCAUUGAAUGAAUAAAUAGACUUAUGUGAUUCGGCCGAAAAAGAAAAGACAUUUACUUGUUUGGCUUGAUUCAUGGCUGUAUCAAAAGCCAAAAGCUGCUAAAUUAUCAUUAGAAAGAAUCGAUCAUGGAAUUUGAGUGACAGCUAAAAUCAACACAACUACCAUAUGAUUAUGAGCAGAUGAUCCAAUCCAAUGAACCCUUAAGAUGUGAUUAGAAGUCUACAAUUAGCUAAUAUUUUUAUGAGGAGGUGGACUUUGCUAGAUUUGGGAGGAUUUUCUAGUUAUUGGUGCCUUGAAGAUCAUGAGGGUGUUGGAAACUAGCAGUGACAUUCUUUGGAAUGUUGAAGCUGAGCAGUAAUGCCCUCCGCUUGAUGAUGUUUUCUUCACUCUAUACAUUGUAUUUUCCCCAUUUCUUAAAAACUGUUGUCUGCUCACAAAAUAAACAAACUAGAUGCCUAUGAGGCUAUGAUACACAUAAAAUUGUAAAAUGGAUUUUGGGCUUUGGGUUAUAGGGCUUUGGUUUGUUUUUGGGCCUCUCAUAAAUCCAUAGAAAAAAGGGUAAACUGCUAAAUACCUCCUUGUAUUAUAUUGACUGUCGAAAUCUCCACCAUAAAUUAUUUUUUCAGCCAAUUUAGCCCUCAGAUUAUUUUAAAUGGUCAAUUUAGCCCCUGCAUUAGUUUUCAUGCAAUUUUAUCCAAUUUUCUAUCUAAAUGUCACAUGGUAGGCACAUGAUUCAAUUAGAAUUUAAUUUUUUUUAAUUUUAAAAUAAUUAGAUUUUAAAGCACUUCAGGCUCAUUAGACCCCAGCGGUAGGGCUCGUCAAUGGGCCGGGCCGGGCCAGGCUAGCCCGGUCCAAAUUUAAUGGGCUUGGGUCGGGCCGGGCCGAGCCUAAACGGGCCCUACUUCAUUCAAAAAAAAUCAUAAACUUAAUCAUAAGGGCAUUUUAGUCCAAAUUUGAGAUUAAACUCACUUAAUUCCAAUGGGCCGGGCGGGUCCCCAUCGGGCCAUCAGCCCGCGGGCCAAAUGAUGAGGCCUACCCAGCAGCCUCGACCUAACCUAGGCCUUCUUCAAGCCCAUCUACGGUGCCGCCUCUCCCUCUUCCACCAAGCGCCACACCAAGUUCUCCGUUAUCGGUGCCAUGCCAGCAAUGUGGUUAUGGCCAUCGCCCAAACCAUCCUCACUUAGGACCUCGUCGACGCCAAACCUGAGAAGCUCUGCAACAAGAUGCUCGACCUCUAGCACGCCGCUGCCUUCCUCCCCUGCACCAAGAUCAUAGCCGACGUUGACUACGCCGUCACAGUCAGAUCUGACCUCUACAUCAUCACCGCUGGGGCCCGCUAGAUCAUUGGCUAGUCCAGGCUCAACCUGUUCCACCGGAAUGUCGGCCUCUUUCGCAAUGUUAUCCCGCCGCUCGCCAAGUACUCGUACGACAAGAUCCUGCUGAUCUUGUCGAACUCGGUCGGCAUCUUGACCUACGUGGCCUGGAAGCUGUCCGGGUUUCCUAGCAAUCGGGUUGUCGGGGCGGGUGGGCUCUUCGUGGUUUGAUUCCUCAUUGCUGAUCAUCUUGAUGGCAACGCUCAUGAUGUGCAGGUGGGUUUUGAUAUGAAAUUUCUCAUAUUUUUUUUCGUUUAUGAGUAUCAAUUUUGGAUAAAACAUGGUUUUGUUUUUUCGUUUAGGGACGAGGGAUGUAAAAGACUGGUAAUAGGUUUUUUGGAAAAAUAUAUCUAAGUUUAGCAUGUUUUUUGUUUUUACAUUUUAUUUUUAUUAAUAUUGUACUUUGUAAAAUGACAAACUUACCCUCAUAAUUGACGAAAAAUUGGAUGGAAUUGUAGAAACUUAACAGUAGGUGCUAAAUUGGUGAUAAAAUUUAUUAUAAGGGUAAGAAAAGUCUGCACAGAGACAAUCUUAUCCAACAAUAGCAAGUGGGUUUCUUCAUGCAGGGGAUGACGGAGUCAGGUUCGGCUCGAGCUCCCUUCUAAGUGGCUGAAAAGGGAAGGCUCUUCUCAAUCUCACUCUCUCUCGCUCUAAGUUCGUUGGAGGAAGAAAAGGAAAAAGAAGAUGAGGGUGAUGGGGAAAAGGUUACUCUGUUGUGCGUAAAGAAGAAGGAAAUAUUAAAUGAAAAAAGAAGAAGGAGGAAGUUGGUAUAUGGGAAACCACAAAGGAGCUUAUGAAAUUUAUUUUUGGGUCGGGUUUAAUUAUUCGGCCCAUUCCAGCACUUAUCCAUGGCCCUAAUAAUUAAGGGGGCUAAUGUUGAGGCCCAAAAAUCCAGGGUUAGGCCCAAAUAAAUUCUCAGCCCAACGCAAUGCUUUAUUAAGAAAAGACCCGAUUUGGAACACGCAAAAGUUCGUCAUUCACGUUCGCACGAGUCAUGAUUCACAUGUCAUACCAAAUAAAUAUGCAAUCUGUCAUGCUAAGAGUCGAAAUAAACACUGGCUCUAUAAACCCAUACUAAUUAUCCCAUCAAGCAUCAUAACUAAAAAACAUGCCAAGUCAUGCCAUGCUAAGCAGGAAAUUAUUAUUUCACAACCAACCACGCUACAAGCUUAAGUGGGCCCAAGCCACGCAAAUGUCCAGGGCUUGCUUGAGUGGGUUGUGGUAUGGAUGGUAAUCAGUUGUCAUGAUGCCCAUUGACGGGCCAAGAAAUGGAGUUUCCAGGUUGCUUGGGAGUUUCAGAACUCAAGCCCAUUUCUGAAGUCCAAACAUGUAGGUGCAGCACAAAGGAGAAAAUAGUCCAUUACCUUAGCCAAAAUAGUCCAUUAGCUUAACCAAAAUUAGCCCAACACCUCAACAAAAUAGGCCAACACUUGGUGAGGUUGGCCCAUUUAUUUGAUAAACCAAUCCAUUGUCAUAGAAGGCCCAUGUAACUAAGAUAAAGACCUGCAAAAGCCUCAGCCCUUUGUUGAAAAAACAGAAGUCACGAGGGGAGCAAGAUGUCCACAUAUGCAGAGCUGCUCCAGCACAUGGGAAAGAACAAGUUCCAAGCACAAAACAUCCGAAGAACCAGGGAUAUUAGCGCGCAAGCUGUCAGGAGGAGAGGCACCCUUCGAACCAGCAUGUAUAUCCAUUUGCUUUCCUUGAUCAGAUCUAGCCAUGGAAGGAGGAAGGAAAGAAAAAAAAAAGCUGAGAAUGGGAGUCUCCUACUAGCUGCGGAAAAGGGCCUUGAGCUCCCAAAAAUCCUUGAUUUUGUGCAAAUAGAUUGAUGAAAUUUCACCAAGAUGGGAAAGUCAAGGAAGGAGAGGAGAAAUUAAGGGAAAGACUUGGCAAAAUAGGAUGGAAGCCAUUAGGGUUUCUUGGAAAAAAUGGCUUCCAUCGGCUAUAAAUAGGGCCUCUUCUACCCAACAAACAUCAUCCACAACCAGAGAGCAAGCUUCCUCUCUUACUCCUAAAACCCAGCAAUUUCGGGCUCAGCCCAUCCUUUUCCCUUAGUUUACCCUCUUGGCAAGCUGUUCUAACACUUAACAGAGUCUCUGUCAAGUUGCCGAAAAAGGCACUCAAGCCACCUUUUUCUCUCUUUCCCUCAUUCUCAACCAAACCUCUCUGUAAAACCCUUUCUCUCCUACCUUAAUACCCCAUCUUUCCCCUAGGAACACUUAAUUUUCUCUUCAGUGCUAAACUCAUGACAACUUUGCUCCCAUGCCACAAGCCUCUCAUGCCAAGCUAGAAAAUUUAUCUGUAAGCAUUAAGAAAUCAUCUGUAAACAGCCAUUAUUUUCAGUUGGUGAAGGUAACCAAGGUGUUUCCUAAGGUUUUGUCAUCCUUUUGAAGCAUUUUGGGGUCUGAUCUUUGAACUCAGACACAGGGGAUAUUUUCUUCAGUUUACUUUUUACGGCGGCCCAGCCCAUUUGUAGCUGCCAGAAGAAAAAAGCCCCUACAAUAAGCAUAUCAGAAAUGAUUCGUUUGUUUUUAAUUUUUUGGUUUGAAAGCUUAUUGAAAUUAAGCAAAAAUUGUUCAAAUUGAAAGAAUCACAUAACGACUACAAGAUGACUUAUCGGUACUAAUUACUUGAUUAGAAAACAAACAUGGGAAUCAGGUGGGAGACGACGUUGAUGAUGGUAGAUGGCGGCAAAACUACUUGGAUCUCUGUCUCAUCUUUCGGCUCUUCCUCUUCAACCUCCUCAUGCGCUUCUUUCCACUUGGCUCUCAUGGUGACGAUGAAAUGAAGUUCGCUCUCUAGUUCUGCAAAGAAGGCUGCGGGGAAGGGAACAAGAUAUCUUCUGUGUUCAAUAUUUUAGUGGAUUUAUAGCAUUUGAAACUUGUAAAGAAUAAGUUAAUGGGAAUAAUGUAAGAAAAUAGUCAUAGAUGCUGAGUGACAAAAUGCAAUGUGAGUUGUUAAUUGGAGUUAUGACUUAGCUUUGGGAGUUUGCAUCCUCGAUGAGACCCCUACCUAGAAGGAAAAUAUCCUUCUUGAUGAUCUGUUGGGUAUUGCUAAACCCCGCUUGAUUUCUGCUAUUUAACUUUGUUUGUUGCCCCUCUAUCACCAAAAAAAAUCAAUGCGACUGCAUGUAGAAAAACAAUGUGAUAUAUACAACUGAAAAAGCCUAUUGGCACGUGCGAAAACGUAAUGGAAAAGUCUUUGUUUUUUUUUUUUUACUGUUAUUUUCUAGCGAGAGAGGAUGGUGAAUAUUGCAUAACGCUCACGUUUAGAAUUUUUCAAGACUCAUCAUCAACUCAUUCUUUGGCUACAACUUAAAAGCAAUGUGGAACUGAUAACCGUUUGGUGUCAAAAAUAAAAAUAAAUACAAACCGAGACCCAUCAACAUCAACUCAUUCUUUAGCAACCACAAUCAACGUGGGUGGGAAAAGGAAAAACAAUUGAAAAAAAGAUUAAAUAAAAAACUGUUCAGACGCGCGAAACACCCCUCCACUGCUAAUGCGUACUUGCUCCGUUCUCCCUCGUCAUCAGAAAAAGGGAGAUUUGUGCGGAAUUCAUACAAAAUCAUGCAUAUUUUCCCUUCAUAAGUUUAUCCCAUUCUGAACUCCUGCCUUCUUCACCCUCCCAAAACCAUAUGGUUUUGCACAAAUCAUGACUUGGUCCCCGUCUUGCAAACGGAGCACAUCGUUUGACACUGGUCCCUGCCAAAGAUAAUCGCCUUCAGGUUCUUGACUGGGAACUUUUACUGAGGCAAUUGGUAUCACGGCCAAGAAAAUUAGUUCCCUUCAUAAAAUUUAUAACCAUCACGCCAAUACAACAUUUAGAAUCUAUAGGUCUUGUGGAAUCUGAGGAGUAAAUGAAGCACACAGUCAACCCUUUUAAAUUACAACCCACAAUUAUUUGAGGAACGUGGGAUCCCAGUAUAGCCGCGCGGCGAGACUCGGUUUUUAGAAUUUUUUUCCAAAAAUAGUAUAGCCGUGCGGCUUUACUGGGCUCCUUUUUCUUUUCCUUUCAAUUAAUAGUAUAGCUAGGUUUUCCCCAUUUUUAGUAUAGCCGCACGGCUUUACUCGCGUCUUUUAUUUUAUUUAGCAAAUAUUAUAGCUGCGCGGCUAUACCCUUUUUUGAAAAAAUGGACUUCAUCCAGUUCCCCCUCAUAUCUAAUGGAUAAGGUUCACCGUUAACCAAGGUAAACGGGUUCAUUUCGAGGAAGCUAAAACCCAAAUCUGCAAACGAAAUCAAGAAUUCAAAUAGCCUCAGCAACAAGAGAAUGUACAUAACUAUCAUAUAUGUGAGAUCAAGCUAAUCACGGUCUUACAGUGUAGUAAAAACAUAAGUUAUCUAUCUUUAGACAUUGCAUACCCUGAAAUACAAUGAAGACGCCCUUUAUGAAAUCCCCAAUUUUGUCCCUGACCUGUAACACACCAGAAUAGAUAAGACAGAAGUCCCAAUACCGACAAAACAGUUUGUCAAAGAGAAAUAAAAUGAUGAUAUCAAAUAGAAACAUAGUAACAUGAUUAAAGGGCAAAACACAAGAAUUAUACCUACGAAACUCAUGCUCUUUCUGCUAACAGACUUCGACAUCUACCACUAUAUCUUAAUGCUGCUGUAGCCAGUCAAGAAGUUCAAUUUGAAAUAGUCCAGUGGUUUGGUUUGGUCUUCAUUUCUUGAGCUAUAUGCUCAUCUUUACUACAUGCCAACGCAUUUGCAGCAACAUAACUUCAACAAGAAUAUACAUGAGAAAGAAGAGAAUGAAGCAAACCUCCAAUGGAAGAGUGGCAAUCAGUGGAGCACAAGCCUCAUUUCACCUAUAAAACAUCAAAACAAACAUAGAUACAGCAAUUAGCACCCAAAACCAAGCAGAAAACAACAUCCUAAUUCCAACACUCAAAGAAACCAAAAUGAAAAAACACAAAUUUGCAAUACCUUGUCCCAGUUCUCUUCAAUUUCAAUUCCUCCACACUCCAAAAAGCUCAAAGUCGAUCCAAGUCUUUCAGAAACAGUCGAAAGGUAAAAUUCUUGAUCAUGAGGCAUAAAUGGCUCCACUAUAAACGUCGUUAUAGGCACCUUACAGCCUCCCAUCUCAGCCUUUUUCCAAAUUCACCCAAAAUCCUUCAAACAAAACAUCCCAAAAUUCAAUCUUGAACAAUUGGGUUCGCAACAAACGAUCAAAAUCAGAAAAAUAAAAAAUCGGAUGGCAAUUACCUCCUUGCCAAGACGCUGCUUCACAAACUCGGCGACCUGAGCCAUAUCCAAAUUGAGAGCAACAAGGCCACUCUUCCCGUGCUUCCCGAACAACAUAUCGGGCUUCACCACGAGCCUCGUCGACGACAGCCAUGUCUCCGUGCGGUGGGUGUUGAUAUACAGGUCGAUUUGCGAAGGAAAGAAAAAGUGCAGUUGUCAGGUGCGGCUGAUGAGUGUACUAUAUUGAAUUAGAUGGUGAAGGCACACGCGCGACAAUAGCUCACGCUUUCGACGUGCCAAUCGCUUGCAGAACUGUCAAGUUUGUUGGUAAAUCUGGGAUUGCAGUAAGGUUUAUGCAGUCAUCUAAACACAAUUUUUGAAGCUUUGAAAGACCACCGAGGCUUGGUAGCCUACGAAAACCAUUGUUUCCAAGAUUUAAAUCUGCUAAGGAAAUGAGGCUCCUGAGAUCCUUAGGGAUUGCAUCUUCAGUUAAGCUGCAGCCUGCAAGAGCUAAUUCCCUUAAAGAGCCAUUUAAGGAAGGGGGCAAAAGAUGUGUUGACGGUGACCCUGUCACACCACAUACAGAUAAAACUCUCAAGUUGUUCAAUUUUACUAUGGAAGAUGGUAUUUGUCUUAUGGCUGUGUUAUCUGCUCUGAGCCAUGUCAAUGCUACCAUGUCCCCUAAGCCAUCAGCCAAGUUUUGAAAUCUUGAACAACCAUUAAGUAGAAGAGUUUUAAUGGACUUGGAAUUAUAGAAAUUGAGUGGGACAUGCAUCAGCAUUUCGCAGUCUUCAAGAUUUACCAAAGUAAGUCUAUUAAUAGAUCAUACCACCACUGUGAGCCGAGCCUAUUACAGAACAUCACAUGGUCAUUGAAUGGCUGGGUUGCCUUUAUACCGACCCGAUCAGAUAUGAUGCCCCGGGUAUCGAUAAAAGGCCUCCCAGCCAAGGUCUGAUGGGACAAAGUGCGAAUCAGUGCUCAGGCAUUCAAACACCGACCCAACCACUGUGGUGACCGCAUAUGACCAGAUGUGCAUUAAUGAUAUAAAGGCGUGAUCAGACCCCUGUCAAGUCAAUCAUUCCAUUUGUCUGAUCAACAGCCUGGCGAUAGAGAGAGAUCAUUUAAUGUGCCUCCCAUCCAAAGCCACAUGUCGCUUUGCCACAUGAUCCCUGUUAGAUAGCAUGGUGAUCAGAAUAGCCAUUUAAUAUAAUCCAGUCUCACCAGAGGGAAGGAAGAUAAAUAUCUCCUCCUUAAGUAUCUUUGUCCCUCAUUCUCCCCCUAUAAAUACCCAUCACCUAUCUCUGGAUAAAGGUAAUAAAUAUUCUCACUUGAUAAACCCUACAUCAUUUUCUCCACCUCUAAAUAGCUUCUGACUUAGCCAUCGAAGGGGGCUCAACUAUAGGAUCAACCCCAAUUCGCUCUUGUUCUGAUAAUUGUUCGAAGUGUGCAAAUCUUCUCCAGAAGGCAUCCCCACCAAGAGAUCAGGUACAAGCCCUGGCCUCAAUCUGGGUUCAUGCCAUACAGCGUACAAGAAGGAUACACGGUUUACAAAGUCUUUGUAGAUCCCCAAUGGAAGACUGAACCUCAGACAAACUUUUACAGUCUUGCAAUAUCAGUUCCUCAAGAUUUGGGAGUUUUGAAAAGUGUGGAGAUUUGGCUAGGUCAUGGGAAUGACUGAGAUUAAUGAAUUUCAACUUGAUAAACAUCUGUUACACAAAACCGAAAGAAACCAGAUAUUAAAAUCCUAAAGAAACGUUUGAUAAAAACAUUAAUCCGAACAGAACAUUAUAUGAAGUAGAAAACCAGAAAGAAAGAACUACUAGCUAGUAAAAAACUAGGUUGACAAUAACUGUAUGUACCUUCGAUUCCUCCCAAACUAGUAUGAGUUUGCUAUUCUGCUGGUCCAUGGCAACUAAGCUUUCUUGAUCAAAUUGAUUCGGUAUGGAUGGUAGUGGAAAUCCAUGCCAGCACAUCCACCUUAACAUGUUGGUGGAAAGAUAACAUGUUGGUGGAAAGAUAUUUGUAGCCGUCGUCAGUGAGCUCUACGUAAUUGAGUUGGAGCAAUUUCAGUCGCCUUAUGUUUUCAAAUGCUUGUGCACUGAAACUAGCCUUUUCAGAUAUUUCCAAAUUUAGAGCAAGUCCUUGAAUUUCGUCAGUUCCUGUUAACGGCACUCAGUAAGAAAGAAGUUUUAUUUUCAUGCGGAAAUUUAUUUAUGGACGAGUUUUAUUCAUAUCUAGCCUAAACUUGACCUCUAAAUUCAUAAAUGUCCGUUUUUGUAAGAACUUUCAAAUAUAGCCAAAAAUUCAAUUAAAUAGAAUCAAAUAACCCUUUAAAUUAAAAGCCAGUUAAAUUUCUCCCUGCCUAUGCCUAAUAAAUUUAUUUGCUUAUGCAGUAAACAUUUCUCCUCUCAAAAUUGAGAUGCCACCUUUUUCUACCCAAAUCGUAUUCUCUUGUUCAAUUGUCUCCACCAAUUUACUAGUCACUCAGAAUUUAUAACUAAAGAUAGAACAAAUUAGUUAGGCUUAGAAAUUUCAUCUUCUUCUUUUUCCAGAACAUGAUGUACUAACAUGUUACCAACAAAAAAUGAAAAAUGAAAAUGUUACCAACAUGUUUUUACUUUUUUUUUUUUUAAGUGAAAAUUAAAUGGUUAUCAAAACCCCUAAAAUAAAAUGAGUUUAGGAUUUUCUCUCAACAGUAAAAAGUGAAAAUUAAAUGGUUAUCAAACCGCCUUACAUUAUGCUUUCAACCAUUUUUGUGGAAAGAUACUUACAGAUUUUCUUUUCAACACUUCUCUUACAUCUUCUAUUGAUGCCACAGCCUACUGCGUUUUCCAGGGUCAUAAUAGGAUACUUCACAAACAAUUUCUAUGCCCAUGUCUCGAAGCAAAUCAUGCAUCACUAGUGUUUUUGUUUCACUAAUGGUUAUAAGGCACCGCUGCCGGAGGUUAUUGAUUCCUGUUUCUACAGACUUUCCAUGAUAACAUGACAUAGUUCUUGUCCAUCCCAAUAAAGAAACAAGAUAUAUCAAGGAAUAUAUCCUUAUCUUUAUUAUCUAGCCAUUUAUAGCUUAUUCCGAGCUUGUUUACAACAUCUUCAGGAGGAAUUGUAUUCAAUUUAUCCAAUUGGCUUUCCCACACUUCCUUGCUUUGUGUGGCCAACGAAGAGGCCAAAACUUUUAGUGCUAGUGGCAAACCUCUACAGUAAGAAACUACUCUUCUUGAGAGCUCAACAUAUUCUUCGUUAACAUGACAUCCUUUAAAGGCAUGCCAAAUAAAGAGCUCUAGAGCUUCUUCUUCAUCCAUUUCUUCAGCGACAUAUAUAUCAUCGACAUUAGGUUUUAGCAACUGCUUAUCUCUUGUUGUUAUAACAAUUCUACUUCCUGGACCGAACCAAUCAUGGCUUCUAGCUAAUGCCUCUAGUUGCUCCACUUUAUCUACGUCGUCGAUUAUGACGACUAAUUUUCUAUGUUGAAGUUUUUCUUUUAUCAUAAUGGUUCCUCUAUCCACAAAACCAACGUCCUUCGUCUUGCUUCUGUUCAAGGUUUCAUAAAGAAGAAGUUCUUGCAAACUAACUAGACCACCGGGGUUUGCAGCUUUUACCCUCACGUCUGCAAGGAAACAACUACCUUCAAAGCUACGACCAAAUUGAUUGAAAGCGGCUUUGGCAAGAGUUGUUUUUCCUAUUCCGCCCAUUCCCCAAAUACCAACCAUACGAACAUCCUUAUUAGAUGAUUCAAUACGCAAGUCUUUACUCAACUUCUCUAGCCGAGACUCAAUUCCAACUGGGAAGUCGAUGUUUAAUGAGCGUUUAUUAUUCAACUGUCGAUCAAUCUCCCCAACAAUUCUCCCGAUAAAAUUUGCUUCAUGCCUGGCAAUAAACAGAACUAUGAACCAUUAUGAAACCAACACAAGGUGAAACAUUUAAAUCAAUAACUUAUUUACAAUUCACAAUAUCUGGUUAUUGUUAUGUUUGUUCAAACAUUGUUGGACAAAGCAGUAGGUAAAAUUGAUUCAAUUCCAAGUAAAAGGAAAUACGGUUUCUGUCCACAAUAUCCUAAGGGAAAUAGUUGUUUAAUCUUGUUGGAUGUACAGGGUUCCAAACAACUCAAUUUUGUAUGGGAACAUGAAACUGAUUUCUAUAAAUCUUAUUUAUCCCAAUUUGAUUAAAAAUAAUCAAACCAAGCACAGGAGCAUUGGCAUUCUAUUGCUAUAUGGUUUGCCAAACUUGGUUUGCCAUAUGGUGUUAACAAUAAUAAUAAUAAUAAUAAUAAAGUACGCUCGCAAGGGAGGAAAAAAACACGUGUAGGAAAGGAUCUUGACAUCCUUCGAGAAUUACUUCCUUAAUCCUAAACUUCAAGUAAAAAGAGAAAAAGAUCGUAAGUCCUUGAACACAACGGUGUAGUGUGUGCCAAAGAACCUCCAAUGCUUAGGUUAGUUCUCAAAUAAAAAUUAAGGUUAUUCUGAAUAUGGAGAACGAUCAAAAAGUCCAUGUGCAUAGAUAUCAAUGUCCAUGCAAUCCUCCAUGUUUUAAAUUGGUUUUUCCAAUCAUGUGUGAUAGAUUAUUGUGAUAGGCCGGUCCACAUUUUAAUGUUCUUCUUAUUCUUUUAAAUAUUCUAUUCCAAUUUUACCCUUAAUAGCUUAAAGGCUCUUAUUUGUUAUAAUGCCUCUGAAACUAUGAUUGACAGGACCCGAUCCAAAUUCCACUUUGGAAUCCGAGCCAGACCCUGUGUGUGUCCGACACCUGGCGAAUGUCGGGCACAAAUGACCUAAUUGCCCUUCUAUACAAAACAUGAUAAAAAUAACAAGGUUGACUUCUACCGAAAAACGAGCAGAGUUUCCCUUGUAUCUGGCUCAAUACCAAAAUCUUACACCUGUCAAAACAAGUAUAUAUAUACAACCAACUGCCAGCAUACAUAAGUAUACACAUGUCACGAGAUCCAAGCUCAGUCUAGGGCAAAACAUCAGAGCGACUACUAAGAAUUUACAAAAGAGUGAAUCUUUGUACAAAAUACAAAUCCUACAUCAAAGAAAGGCGCGGAAGAUGGGAAGUGGCCCGGUGGUGGAUUCCUGUGCACGUCUACUGCCUGGGGGCGCAAAACAACAAGAAGGGUGAGUGGACCCAAAAACAAAGUUUAGAAAAUACUAUAUGAACAUACUAACCCCACUGUAAAAACAGUUAUACAAACUAACUUAUUUUCUAUAUUUCUGAAAUCAAUGCAUGUAUAUAACUAUACAUUUGAAAACAGUUGAAAACUAUCACCUAGGUGUACCCUUAUUUCCGUCAAAUCCUUAUAUCCGUCAAUUCCUUGCAUCACCAUGGGUGACACAUACUCGCAGGUCUCAGUGACACGAGGUCAGUCUGAGCCGCAACUCGCAGGAUUCAGGGAAUCGUAGUCCGCCUUUAUCCGCAUUACUCGCUCCACACGAGUUCGAGUACCAAGGAACUCGUGAGGCAACUGUCAAGCAUGCUGACUAAACCGAAGGCAACAAAUAUAAUCCGAAGGCAACAUGUAAUAACUGGGUACAAGGUGGUUUAAGAAAAUAUAAAGUUUCUGAAGAAAAUCUUAUGAAUAAUUAACUUUCUGUAACCUUUAAAAUUCUGCUGUCAUUUAUCUGAUAAUUAACGAGAAUAUCUUUUCCUAUAUUCUUAAAAGGAAACUUCACUCGGCAGCAUGUAACAUAAAAUAUUUAACAGCAUAAAACAGCUUAUAACUGAAACUGAACUGCUUAACUGAAACUGAACUGAUUAAAUUCAUUUAUAAAAAUAAAGAGUCCACUCACUGAUAGUCUGAGCUCGCUGGACCUCUUGAAGGUCCCUCCUGCGGGUCAACUGGUGCCCGGGUGCCUGAUUCAAUGACCAUAAUAUUCUAUUAAUACAAUAUAGUAUUAAAUUAAAAAUCCUACCCCCGGCUCCUAAAAGUACGUCCGUCAAUUUAAAGUGAUCCCUAUGCCCAUAACAGCUUUCCUUCCACGUGGGAUAGUUUAGCGGUAUCUUGGGACUCAAAAAGCGCUAAAGUCCAAAAAGUCAAUCCGGAACCCCACGGGUACAAUAUGAUCCGGAUGCCGCUAGAAGGUCCAAUAUAUUUAGGACACAUGUCCCGAGGGUAUUGGUGUCAAUCGGACGGUCGGAUUAAUUACGAUCGUGUAAUCGCAUAAUUUCUAAACCCUAGCCCUAGGGUUCGCGAUUUCGGAGUAUCCAGGACUCCGAUUCGCAAUCCGUCGAAUCCUACAAGAUCCUGAAAUCAUGUAGACCGACAUAUCAAAAAUUCAGUGUGAUCCAAUGAUUUAACGACACUGCACCCAAGGAUCGCGAGAUAUGAAAAAUCCGUUCGGGACUCAAACGGACUCCGAAUCGAUAUCCGCGAAAUCCUACGCGCUCGUGACGACACGAGGGUCACAAAACUAUACAAAAUUACUUCACCACCCUCGCCCAUGCGCACCAGCACGCGCGGGCAGAUUUGGGUGUUUUAAGCGAUUUUGGGUGGUCGAAAAAUCUCAGAACCAGGACUCCAAACUCCUAUUCUAGGUAAAACACCCCAUUUGGAGUCACUUUUGUUCUUGGACCUACCCCAAAAAGUGACCAGAAACAGUAGAUCACGGCGGCCGAAGUUUCGGCCAGAUUUCAAGUCGAAAAAUUAAUCGCUUUAGAGCUAAACUCGAUCGAAACCCAUACAUCCAUCAGCUAGAACACGAAAAAUAGCUGAGAAACCAUACCUUACUCGAUCGAUUUUUUGGAGAAUUGAAGGAGAAAAUCGAGCUGGAAGUUUAAACACGAAAUCCGGCAAAAAUGGAGUUUUUCGGCGAGCUCCGGCCACGGAAACUCCGGCAAAGGGUCAGAAAAUGACGGCGGUCGAGUGAUGGUUCGUUUGGUACCAACGGCGGAGAUCGGCUCCAAGCGUGGUGGCCGUGGCGACGAUGAGAAGGGAGGAAGGUCGGCUGGCACGGGCUGAUCGGGAGGAGAGAGAGAAAAGAGAGAAAUUGAUGGGGGAAGAAAGAGAGAGAGAGAAACAGGUUUUAUAAAUCUGAUUUUUCAAUUUACCAUUUUGCCCCUCAUGAUAUUUUAAUCGUAUUGUCUUCGUGAAAAUUCCGAUUUGAGCUUACUUCGUGUCUAUGAACUCGUGUCGUCAUGCUCUACCAACGGUGUAUGGGGAAUUGUCAAAUUCCUUUUCGGUCAAAAAGUCAACUUUGAGUUCAUAAUUUAGUCACAGGGCAAAAUUGUCUUUCCGCAUAAUAAAUUACUAAUUAAAUAUGAAUUUUAGGUUUGGGUCCUUACAAUGAUCAGGUCUCACUUCACCUCAUGGAAGUUAAAGUGAGCCACUUUAUCACCUUGAUCAAAGUUUGAUGUCCCAUGUUGCUGCUGACUCCACCCAAAAUUCUGUUAAUUUUGAUGACAUGAAAGUGGUCGUUUUGCAGAGACAAAAACAGUGUGAAGGACCUGUCAGUUAUAUGUAGGAGGUUAUGAAAUGAAGUUGAAUUUAUUAUUUUUAUGCAAUAUUGUUGUUUUGAAUUUGCUCUCUUUCAUUUGGAUUUUAUUAUGUAUCUGUUUUGUUGUUAGGUUGCAACUUAAAAAUUAGAGGAUUAAAUGCUAGACAGUGAAUGUCCAACAGGAAGUUUUAAAAAAAAAAAAAAAAAAAGGAAAAAGAGGGAGAAAAAAAAAAGGAAAAAAGAAGGGAAAAACAAAGUAGGCCCAGUUUGGUUCGCCCAAUAGGCCAAGCCCUACCCGGUGGGCAUUUUCUAACGGAAAAAAGGAAAAAAGACAUUCACCAAAAGGAAAAAAGAACGACAUGAUUUGAAUCUGAUGCCUAAAGAUUCUAGCAAGAUAGUGAGAUAUGACGUUUCAAGAAAUAAAGCUAUGAUCAGUACAUCAAUAAUACACGAAACAUGAACGUUGCACCCCUAAAUAAACAAAUCUCUAGCCAAAAAUAAUAAAAAAGAAAACCUCCCAACAAAGCUAGCUUAUUAUAAGUAGGGAGGCCAACAAAACCCCAUUUCAAUUUCACAACCCACUUUCUAUCGACAAGCACACAAUCAAACAUGCCGAAGAAGCCUGAUUCACAGCUUGCUGCUUUUGUUGGCUACCUACAGUUUAUGCCUUUGAGCAACGGAUCAUCUUCUUCACAGCUCAAUGAGUCUCAACAAGUUCAAAUCAAAGAUCGAUAUUCAUACAAACAUGCUUAUGGUGGAGGGUCAAGCAGCUUUACUGGGAGCUGCAAGGCUGGAAAGUAUGUGGACAAGAGGACUGGUGGCUUGGGUUACAAACAAGAGGCAAAGUACACCUCCACUGCCAAACAUGUGAACAAGGAGCUAGGGUUUACCACUGAGUGCCAGACCCAGGUGAAGUACAAGAAGUCCGUUUACCCUAACAAGACCCAGGUGAAAAAGUCUGCUUCUCCUAACAAGACCAAAGUGCAGCGCAAGUGUGCUUGUCCUAACAAGACUCAAGUAAGGGUCCAGAAGUCUGCUUCUCCUUACAAGAGAGUAACCAAGUCCUACAGCAAACGUAUUGACUAUUAUUAGAUUUUCAUGCUCACUGGGGGAUUUAUUGGUAUCAUUUAUUUUGAUAAGUGUCUUUAAAGUUUAUGUGUCUAAGCUUGUUCAUGUUUACUCGGAGUAAAUAUCUCCUGCUAUAUCUGUCAGUGCGAAGUGUUUCUCUCUCUUUCUUAUGUAAUGAACUUAUAAGUUGUUAUUAUGUCUACCUUUUUAAUUAAAUAUUGAAGUGUGUUUUUUUUUCAUGAUCAAUCACUCCCUCUGUAGGAUAUCUGUCAUUUUUCAGCAGAAAACCAUUCUUUUGAAAGUAUGUUGGUUAGUUGGUUCUUGAGUUUUGCAAUUUUUCCAAAGUACAGCUACCUCGGGAAUUUCGAUUCCAAUGAGCUACUUAGCCCUGAAGAUCAGGCCAAAAGGUCAGAAAUCCCUGGUGAAAACUUCUACCGAAGUAUGAAGUAUCAAAAGAUUAAUAUUGGUACCAAAAUCAUGUCGAGAAUGAGAUUUAAUUUGUUUCGGCAAUUCUCCAAGUUUAUUAUGAGUUCUUGUAACCAAUAUGAUGUUGGAAUAUUGGCCCAAAUUAUUGUUUCUACUUUUCCCUUUCGGCGACCACUUUGGAGAAAGGAAAAGGCAAAGGCAAGUGGGGACAUGCAACAAAUCAUGGCGCCUAACGUAUGGUUUUGGGCAUUCUUUUCAUUGAGCACUUCAAAUAAAGUGUGGGACUUUCGUUUUUCUGAUGUAUAAGUUGCCGUGAGUGAGACAAGGGAGAGUGGGAUUUUUCUAUUGUCUUCACUUUCGCACAUGGGAGGGAACUUGGAGCCCUUCACAUGCUCCACUGCUGCACUUGUCUAUAUAAGGGAGAGAGCAUCAGUCAGUGUUGUGCAAGCCGUGCACCAUUUGGUGAGAGAUUGAGGAGCUGAUGCUCACUUUGUUGUGGCACUUCUUGAGAGAAGAGAUGGAGAACUCGGCAGGCAUGGACACUUAUGAAUCAUAAAUGACUAGGGCUAAUUUUUAGGCCAAUUUUUUUAUUUAAAAAUUCGACAAAAUCUACUCUCUCUUUUUAUGGCAUUUCGACUACUAGGGCUUGCUGUGAGACUGCUUGCAAGUUACAACAUUUUAAUAGUAUGGAACCCUACUGAGAUCAAGUGAGUAUAGUUGUUGUCCCGCCAAUUCGUGUACCGUUUUGCAUUCAACUUAAUAUUUUACAUGUCCCAUGUGUUUGUAAUUUUGUCUUAUGUCUCUUACUCCAUAUCGUUAAGCAGGGGAAUGUGUGAAACACAAUUAUUUCUGAUUUUUUAAGGGAAAUUGCUACUUUAGGAUUCUGGUUUUUUGUUUCCCCUUCUCUAAGGAAUCUUUCAAUUUCUGAGUUAUUACAUCAAAGUAAAUUGCCUAAAAAUUCUACACUUACUUUCAACUUUUACUUUAUAGCUAAAGUAAUAUCAUAUUAUUGCUCACAUCUCUUUGGAUGUGAGAUUCACUGAUGACCUCGUAUAUUAUACAAAUGGAUUCUCUGCUUCCCAGACUUUUACUAAAAUUAUUAUUAGAAUCAUGGUCAUGGAAUUUGACAGCCAAAAAUCAACACAACAACCAUAUGAUUCUAAGCUUUUUGCCAUGGUUUCAAAACACCUAUCAUCAAGGAUGGAACUAUGAAUUUUUGGAUGGGUGGGAUAGCUAAAAUUUUUAGCUUCAACUCUAAUGAUUUUUUUCUUUUUUUUUCAUUGACUAAUUUUCAAUAAACUUUAUAAGGCAAAUACAUAUUAAAUGUAACCAAAAAAAUACACAUUAUCAAAAUUAAUGUGUUUAUUUUACCCACACACAAAAAUUAAUGUGUUUAACAAUAUAACUGAAAUUGUACCUAUUCAAGUUUCUUAUUUCUUAGCAUCAACUGAAUAAGACGAAUGCAAAAUAAAAAAAAUAUAAAUAAUUAAGUUUCACAUAUAUAUUAGUUGUGAACACAGAAGAUUCCCACCUAUGAGUUUUAAUUACCUACUGUUGUCUGUAAUUAUGGGUUGCAAGACUUGUGAGGGUUUCUAUUGAGUACAAUAUUAAGAAGCUUUCCCUUUUUAUUUUGGGGGAGAAAACGAUUAUUGACUUUACCAACAAAAUAAAAAAGCAAAAGGUUGCAUGCUUCGAGUGGAAAAAAAAAAAACAAAACCAAAACAAAACCAAGGCUGCUAAGCAAUUGCAUGAUUCGGUCAAUUUGAUUGGGGGAUUGGAUCAAAGUAAAAGGCAACAAACUUAGUGGGCCGUACAGAUACACGCAAUAUUUUUAUCUUUAAAGCUUUCCUAGGCUACAGCCCACCACCGCCCUUGCCUAUAAUGAUAUAAUGAACCCUUAAGAUGUGAUUAGAAGUCUAUAAUUAGCAAAUAUUGUAUUGAACAUUGUUGAUGUGGACCUUAAAAAACAGAUGAAGCUAUUAAAACGAAGGUCUAAAAUAUUGGGGGUUUCGGAAAUAUUGGUAGUUCAAAAAUACGGAAAUAUUGAUGAAAAUAUAUGGAAAAUGUCGAUAUCAGUAAAAAUUGAAUAAAAACCACGUAAAUUGUAAGAAAAACUUGAAAAUUUUGAUUCAAACCUUAGAGGAUGUCAUUUAGUCAUUUAUCUAUUAUUUUAUCACAAACAAUUGGAAGGAAAUGCAUUGCAUGGUCGAUUUAAUUGAUUAAGUUGAUUAUAUAGCGAGCUAACAGAUACUGAGAGUGUAGAAAAUAUGUAGUAAUUAAUGAAAGAAGAUUAAACACACCAUAAUCAAUUAUUUAUAAUGUUUUACUGCAAUAUUUAACACUUUAUAUAUUGCAUGGUAAGAUACAUGAGUAACUUAGUACUACAUAGAGUUCCUAUAAGAUUCAAAUUUUGCAAUGUCUUCAUCAUCUCUAUGUGUACUGUGAAGAGUGGUCAUCAAAUGAUAAAUCCCCAAAAUAUUUUUGUAUGUAUUUGUUAACAUGUCACCCUUAUGAAUCUGAGAUUGGUUGACGUUGCCCAUAAGCAAAAUCAUUUGAAGAUUAGGUCUUUGAUUCUUUCCAUGAGCCACUCGAUUCCAUCCCAAAAGGCAUGGGAAUAUAAAGGGUUGAUUUUGCGUACAACAUUAGCUACUACUUCUCAUUCCAUCCCAAAAGGUGGUGCUUUUUUUUUCUUUUCCAUUCCAUGUACAUAUUCUAAUAUUAUCGAUAAUAUCCCAAUAUUUUGUCCAAAUGUUAUUAAAGAGAGAGCGAAAUUCUCGGAUCCAAAAUUUCCCCGAUAUUAUUGAUACUUAUACAAUAAUUGUAUGGAUAGGUUCCAAAAAAUCUUCCUCUUUUCUAUAAAAAAAAAAAAAAAAAAAUUCCUCUUCCCAAAAAAAAAAAACAAUAAUAUUAAUAUUUUAGACCUUAAUAAAAAUAAGAUGCCUAUGAUACACAUAAAAUUGUAAAAUGGACUUUGGAUUGGAUAGAUGCUGAUCAAAUUAGUGACAAUAAUUUAAUCAGAUGCACAAACUAAAUUGAAGGAGAAUGAUAAAGUGACAACAAUUUUUCAUAAUUAGGCAAGCAUGCCGGAGUCAAAGUUAUAGAAUGGUACUGUAUCACAACGUCAAUUGGUGAUACUUUCAUUCAAAAUAUGUCAUGUGUUAUUUUUUAAAAAUAAUUAAAAAAAAAUUUGACAACUGACGUUGAAUUUAUUUUUAACUUUAAAAUAAAAUUAAGAAAAUAGGAAAAAGAAAAAGCCACCGCCCAUCCGUUGCCUCCCCUCACUGCCUUGCCCUCCCUCUCUUUUUCUUCCUCCCUCCAUCUCUUUACUCCAUAAACAAUAACUAUUGCCCAUAAAGAAUCCAAUGUAUUCCAAUACAUAGAAUUUUGAACCAUAAGAUCGGCGGCAAAGGAAGACAGUGCGAGGUAGGGAACUGGGUUGUGGUGUGGUGGGUUUUGGCAUCUUUUGUUUUAUGGUUUUUUAAAAUUUAUUAAAAAGGAAAUAAUGAAUUUUAAAUCUGGCUGUUAAAAAGUUAAUAAUUUAUUUUAAUAGACUGGUACGUGUCAUAUUUUAAAUGAAAAUAUCACAACGUGAUAAUACUAUAUUAUUCUAUAAUUUUUCUCAUGUUUGAAGUGGUCUUUACCAUUCCACUUUUUUAACAACCCUUUUAAUUCCUGACAAAAAUAAAUGAUAAUUGUACAGAUAAUAAAAUUAUUUACAAUUAUGAUAUAUUGACCCUUUUAGUGUUGGCCCUCAUUUAAGAUAAUAAAAUAAUUUACAAUUCGAUCGAUAGAAUAAUUUACAUUUACAAUUAUGAAGAAUCAAGUGGUUAAUGUGAUAGGCUACCUUGGGCCUUGACCUUUGCCAAAGUGAUAUUAUUUAGUCUAUAGGGCUUUGGUUUGAAUUUUGGGCCUCCGGUAAUCCAUAAAAGAAAAACAAUUAUGACCACUGACACCAACAUAUCAUAUCAUCCCCUACUGAGUCCAUUAUUCAAGCACUGACUCACCGCAGCUUUAGCUUACAACUCACCUAUUUUCAUGUAGCUUGUCCAUUAGCUUUCUCUGACAAUUUCGCUACAGUAUUUUUUUGUGUGAAAUAAUUUGACUUUUGAAAGCUUCUGAAAAUUUUAUGUCAUUUCAGCAGAUUCAACACUUACAGCUGUUCAGCUUUUCUUGUACAAAAUAUUGAAAUGUGACAAUUUGGAUAGAAACGUUUAAAGAAACGUGGCACCCCUAAAUGUAUUAAAUAAAAAAAUAAUCUAGCCAAAAAUAAUAGAAAAGAAAAAUUCCCACAUAGCUUAUUGCAAAUAGGAAGGCCAACAAAACCACAUCUCAAUUUCUCACAACCUACUUUCUAUCAAUACACACAGAAUCAAACAAUGUCGAAGAAGCCUGAUUCAAAGCCUGCGUAUGGUUAUUGUGGCUACCUAGAAGUGAUGCCUUUGAGCAAGGGAUCGUCUUCUUCACAGCUCAACGAGUCUGCAGAACUUCAGAUCAAAGAUCGAUAUUCGUAUAAGGAUGCAUAUGGUGGAGGAGGUUCAAGCAGCUUUACUGAGAGCUACAAGGCUGGGGAGUUUGUGGACAAGAGCACUGGUGGCUUGGGCUACAAGCAGGAGGCAAACUACACCUCCAUUGACAAGUAUGUGAACAAGGAGCUAGGGUUUACCACUGAGUACCAGACCCAGGUGAAGUUCAAGAAGUCUGUUUACCCUAACAAGACCCAAGUGAA